ensembl:lncRNA novel transcript
GAAGAGCCGAGUUGCCCCAGCCCCGCACCCCCAGCCCCAGCCCCGCGUGCAGCUCGCACCCCUUCCCACGCCUGUUCGGGGGAGAGCCCCGGGCCUGGAGUGGGAAGCCUGGCUCCAGCUCUGGUUACCUGCAGUGACUCCCCAGGCCGUUUAGGCGAGUCCAUUGGGCCGCCUCUGCCUCGGUUUCCCCACCUAACCACGGAAGGUGCUCCUCCCUUCCAGGCAUCUGUGGUCUUCGAGCUCCACGCGGGAGAGGCGCCGGUCUGGCACCUCCUGCCCAGGGUCGGCGCCUCCUGGCUCUCGGGGAGGGGGGCAUCCUCCAUCCCCUGCACCUGCCUCGAGAGGAACCAGGGACAGAGCACCCCCACCCCCACCAGGAGCUCCGGAAAAACGGCUUCAGAAGAGCAAAUAUACACACACACCCACCUCCCGCCCCAAACAUCCCCGAAGAAAGGUAACCACAGAAACAGCCAGAAAUGUGGAGCUGGGCGAUCGUAUGAGGCUGAGACAAAACUGUCUUUCUAGCGUCUCUAGGGGAGAGCUUGAAUCCCUCCUUCCACUCCUCCUCCACGGAAAACAGAGUGAACUCCUGCUACAGAGGCCGCCAGAGCAACAUGCAAGACCAGCUUUGAGGGGAGCGGGCACAGGGCCUUGCAGGGAAGGUGGGCCGAGCCCAGACCCCUCAUUCUUACUUGGCUCUGAAGGCGGAAAGGCAAAGCUAGACCUCGAGGAAGUUCCCCUCCCUGUGGGCCCUACAGUGAAGAUUACAUGAAGGCAUGUGGGCGGUGGACCAGAGUGCACCGACUGAUGAAGGCGGCCCGGUACCCGCGGGUGCCAUGCCUCCUUCUUAGCCAAGGCCACUCUAGCUCCCCGUGAAGUAUCCAGGUAGAAGGCUGGUGGGGUUACAGGAGUGUAUCUCUCUCAGAUGAGAUACAAGUUGGUCCCUUCCCUUGCGUCCCUCCUGUUCCUUCAAGAGGAGGACUGUCUACCCACCCCGAAGCUUCAUGGAGAGAGAGCACACCGUCGUUAUUCAAUAUGUAGUUUUGAAUUUAACUAGAGCAAAGAAGAAAGCAAAUUCAGUCACAUCAUGGCCCAGAAUGGCUGCAAAACCUCUAGCAUUUACUUCCUUAUUCCAGGUGGAAGGAAGAAGAAAAGGGAAAAGGGCUGUCCCCAUCCUUCUAAGGAGAUGGUGCAGUGGCUCACCUUUGGGAGGCCGAGGCAGGCAGAUCACUUGAGCUCAGCAGUUUGAGACCAGCCUGGGUAACAUAGUGAAACCCCAUCUCUACAGAAAUUAAAAAAUUAGCCAGACAUGGCGGCGCACACCUGUGGUCCCAGCUACUCAGGAGGCUGCGGCAGAAGUAUGCCUUGAGCCAAAGAGGCAGAGAUUGCAGUGAGCCAAGAUCAUGCUACUGCACUCCAGCCUGGGCAACGAAGCAAGACUGUCUCAGGAAAAAAAAAAAAAAUGAUCAUUUUUCUCUGUCCACUUGGUGGGUCAACUGAAUGGUAUUCCUGUGUCUUCUACUCUCCUCCCACUUGGAAACCCACUGAGAUGCUCUUCCGAAGGCCAGUGCAUGCUGGGCCACACGAGACAGAGCUCAGGCUGGAGGAGCCUCAUACCCGCCCCUCUAGAUGCUUAUAAAAAUACUUCCCACCUUUGAAUCAAGUGGAAAAUGAGGCUCUCCAGUCAAAAGCCGCGACUGUAUAGAAAGCCCUGAGUUGCCCAAUCUGUUCACAUGGCAUCACCAACCUCUGUGUCAUCAUCAAGCUGUCCAGGGGACUCGAUGGCCACCUGGCCAGGAACUGCGGGCUGAUUGGAAGCUGUUGUUCCCAUUGUAUAAUCACACACAUCAUAAAAUAAUCAGUCUUGUCUC